CUUCAUCUUCUUCUUCUAAACCCUAAAAUCCUUCAAUUUUUUUGAAUUUCGAUGAUGAUGAUCCACCGGAAUCAUACUGUGUAAAAUUCCGAUGAUGAUGAUCCAAUCAAAGUGGAGAGAUAAAAAUAACCCGAGGCGAUGAUGAUCCGUGACGUGAGGGUAAGUUUAGAAAAUAAUUUUUGAUUAUCAUCGUUUUGUUUCGUUUAAUUGAUUGAAUGAUCGAUCAGAUCUGAUCUCCUCUGUUCUUCUUCUCCUUCUUCAAUCCAAAAUCAAUAACGAGAUUUCACCACGGAGACGCUUUCACGAGACGAGGGAAUUGAAAAGUGAGGAGAGGAAUCGAAUCAAUCUGAGAUCACAUAGUUUGUUGUCGAUGCUGAAACUUGGGAUAAGCGUAGGUAGUGAUUGGUUUGAUGCAUCACAGCACAGCAUCGUAGAGUUGCAGAGCCAUGUAUGCGUCUCGUCGUGUGUGCUGAACAACGAUCGUUUUGAGGACUUCAGAACCGUUUUGGGGAAGAAGAAACUGGUACUUGACUGAUGCUAUGUUCCUGAGAGAAGCAAUGUACGGAUCCGCUCCUCAAAGUGUUGAUACUUUUGAGUCCAUGUCUUGGGACGGAAGAAUCCAUUGUUGGUGUCCUCGAUUUCAAAGGACAUGUGCUACUCACCGGAGAAGAGUUUUCACAUGCUUUUAUACAGAGAAGAGGUUCAGUAAUGAUUGCAGCCGCUGACCUAUACUCAAAUAUUGAGGUCAAAUCUUGCAAACACAGUUCUCACCUUGUGGUUCACUUGAUUUUAUGGAUGCCCCUGCUCCUGAAACGAGCCUUUGGAGUUUUGAAUUACUUGGGAGGACUGGAUGAUGAUGUAACUUGACAAAGACAGGUGAGAUAAUGAGUGAGUGAGUGAGUUCCCCUUGGAUCCACAGAUGGCGAAGAUGCUCAUAGUCAGUCUUGGAUUCAACUACUCAAACAAGAUUCUCUAAGUUUCAGCUAUGCUCUCUCAGUACUUAAAUGAUGCAGAUAGCUACUAGUUGCAGUUUCUCAGUUAUUCUCUCUCAUGAAGCAAAUGGUAUCAGUCUCAUAGUAGUUGCGAAUUGCUUUAUUCGGUAUAGAGAGGCUCAUAGCAGAGGAAGCUAAAGCUAGGUUUGGACACAUUGCUGGAAGAUCACCUCACAAUUGUUUGAACGUCAAGCAAAACAAUGUAGAUGCCGUUUGGUGCUACGAAAACAGAGGGAUGAGAUCUGCAGACAAUGAUAAGAGAGCAGCUAGUCCAGAGAUAAAGUCAAGGUUCAGAACCUGAAGAUGUGCAGCAGUACUCAUUUAAACUACUACAUCAGCAUAAGUCUAUAUCGUUGGACAAGAGAAGCAAUCCAUCUGUACAUGGCAUACUUGACAACCAAGUAUGUCAACAAAGUAUUCGAAGGUAGCUGCUCCCUCUCGUCUCCAGAUUCUCAAGAGAUCACAACCUUGCAG